rnacentral:rRNA from 1 species
GACGAACGCUGGCGGCGUGCUUCAUACAUGCAAGUCGAACGAGAAGCUGACUUCGGUCAGUGGAAAGUGGCGGACGGGUGAGUAAUAUGUAGGAAAUCUGCCUUUAGGAGGGGGACAACAGAGGGAAACUUCUGCUAAUACCCCAUAUGAGCGUAGCUGAAAUGCUAUUCUUGAAAACUCCGGUGCCUAAAGAUGAGCCUGCAUCUGAUUAGCUAGUUGGUAGUGUAAUGGACUACCAAGGCGACGAUCAGUAGCUGGUUUGAGAGGAUGAUCAGCCACAAUGGGACUGAGACACGGCCCAUACUCCUACGGGAGGCAGCAGUAGGGAAUUUUGCGCAAUGGGCGAAAGCCGGACGCAGCAACGCCGCGUGAACGAUUAAGCCCUUCGGGGUGUAAAGUUCUGUCAGUGGGGACGAAACUUGACGGUACCCACAGAGGAAGCACCGGCUAACUCCGUG